AUUGAACGCUGGCGGCAGGCCUAACACAUGCAAGUCGAACGGUAACAGGAAGAAGCUUGCUUCUUUGCUGACGAGUGGCGGACGGGUGAGUAAUGUCUGGGAAACUGCCUGAUGGAGGGGGAUAACUACUGGAAACGGUAGCUAAUACCGCAUAACGUCGCAAGACCAAAGAGGGGGACCUUCGGGCCUCUUGCCAUCGGAUGUGCCCAGAUGGGAUUAGCUAGUAGGUGGGGUAACGGCUCACCUAGGCGACGAUCCCUAGCUGGUCUGAGAGGAUGACCAGCCACACUGGAACUGAGACACGGUCCAGACUCCUACGGGAGGCAGCAGUGGGGAAUAUUGCACAAUGGGCGGAAGCCUGAUGCAGCCAUGCCGCGUGUAUGAAGAAGGCCUUCGGGUUGUAAAGUACUUUCAGCGGGGAGGAAGGGAGUAAAGUUAAUACCUUUGCUCAUUGACGUUACCCGCAGAAGAAGCACCGGCUAACUCCGUG
rnacentral:rRNA from 1 species